rnacentral:rRNA from 1 species
GAUGAACGCUGGCGGCGUGCCUAACACAUGCAAGUCGAGCGAACAGACGAGGAGCUUGCUCCUCUGACGUUAGCGGCGGACGGGUGAGUAACACGUGGAUAACCUACCUAUAAGACUGGGAUAAUUUCGGGAAACCGGAGCUAAUACCGGAUAAUAUAUUGCACCGCAUGGUUCAAUGGUGAAAGUCGGUUUUGGGGGCACUAAUAGCUGGAUCCGGGCCGGAUGAGAUAGUUGGUAAGGUAACGGCUUACCAAGGCGAGGAUGCGUAGCCGACCUGAGAGGGUGGUCGGCCACACGGGAACUGAGACACGGUCCAGACUCCUACGGGAGGCAGCAGUAGGGAAUCUUCCGCAAUGGGCGAAAGCUUGACAGAGCAACGCCGCGUGAGUGAUGAAGGUCUUCGGAUCGUAAAGCUCUGUUAUUAGGGGAGAACAAAUGUGUAAGUAACUAUGCACGUCUUGACGGUACCUAAUCAAGAAGCCACGGCUAACUACGUG